GCCUAGGGUCACAUGUGACUGAAGGCACCUGAUCCUGCCUGAUCUCAGAAGCUAAGCAGUCCCCAGCCUGGCUACUCCUUGGAUGGGAGACCAACCUGGGAAUCCUUGGUACCAUAGGCU
rnacentral:rRNA from 1 species